AGAUAUAAUCAUGAAAAUCGGUCUGUCCUAACCAAAUCCGACGGUUAUAGAAGAAGAAAAAGUUCUUUAAGGCACAAUGGAAGUUCUUCAGUCUACCGCAAUAUUCAGAUCUCUGAACCACCCAACCUCAGCCAAAGGCCCUCUAUUCUUUUGUAAACGUUACACAGAGUUUUUAAAACGAGUACAUAAGACUUAGUGUUGCCAUUUUGUUGCGCCACUGCCUAAGCGCCCCCUGGCCCUUCCAAUUGAGCGGCCGCAGGCUUGCGCCGCGGCCUAGGCGCCCCCUGACCCUUGCAACCGAGCUGCCGCAGGCUUGCGCCGCGGCCUAGGCGUCCCCUGGCCCUUGCAACCGAAAGGUUAGGUUAGGUCAGGUCAGGCUAGACCUUAGCACUUUGGGCUAGACUUUCUGCCGGUCAGCUGAGGACUUAGUUCAUUUUCUGUGCAGCUGUCAUCUGUUUACCACAACAGGUCGAUGGACGAAGGAUAUCAUUGUGUUGAUUAGCGGUUGGCGAACGUGAGGCUUUUGAACCAAACCCCUGUCUAACGCUGAUGUAUCAAGAUGAUCGAAAAAUUUAUUUGGGUUUCCUUGGAUUGGGGCUUCUUCAAGUUGCCCUUCUAUUUGGGCAAUACCGCCUUCAUAAACGAUUAGAACGGCUAGAGGAUCGGGUGCAACGGUUAGAGGCACGGAUGCAACGGUUAGAGGCACGGAUGCAACGGUUAGAGGCACGGAUGCAACGGUUAGAGAAUAUCUUCAUCUCGAUUAGGCCAGCCAUCGGGGCAUAGCCUGCUCAAGUCGAAGAUCCUCUGAGAGAAGAGCCUGAACACCAAGAUCAGCAACAGCCACUACCACUUAUUGUGGUGUACAGCCUUCCCAACCUGAACAUCAACCCCGUCCAAUCAAUCCUCAUGCAUGCGUCAAUGGCUAUUAGUUUUAACAAAUACAUAUUCAUCCGAGACCCAAUCUCAGUUCGUUUUCUAUACCUAAAUUUGGAUUUCGCGAAUUUCUCCGCAACUAAACUACUUGCUGAAAUGGGGUUUGUCCAUCGAUUGAACGAUCCAAAAAACACAUAUUUCUGUGGAUUUUUCACUUAAACCAUAAAAAUCACUUAUUCUCUUUCUUACUCGGAAAAAUUUCUUAUCUCCUAAAUUGUUCACUUUAUUCCAAAAUAGCACUUCAUACAACCACAAAAUCUUGUUGAAUAGAUGGACUUGGCCAAGUUUGAGCCC